CUACGGCCUCAAAUCAGACGUGGCGACCCGCUGAAUUUAAGCAUAUUACUAAGCUGAGGAAAAAUAAACUAACCAGGAUUCCCUCAGUAACAGCAAGUGGAGAGGGAAGAGCCCAGCGCUGAAUCCCCGUUCAGCGGCAGGCGUGGGAAAUGUGGCAUACGGAAGAUCGACUCCCCAGUGUUUCUCAGGGGGUUCAAGUCCUUCUGAUAGAAUCUCGCCCUGCGGACAGUAUUAGGCCGGUAGCAGCCUCCAACACUCUGGGAUCAGGUCUUGUCGGAGUCCGGUUGCUUGGGAAUGCAGCCCAAAGCGGGUGGUUAACUCCAUCUAAGGCUGAAUACGGGCGUGAGACCGAUGGCCAACAAGUACCGUAAGUGAAAGUUGAAAAGAACUUUGAAGAGAGAGUUAGGGUGUGAAACUGUUGAAAGGUAAACGGGUGGGGUAGGUGCAGUCCACCCGCAGGAUUCAACACGGCGGGCAGGGUAGUCGCCUAGAAUGGCGGAUGCCCUUGCGGGACUGCCGCCUUAGCACAUCCGGCCCCCGUCGGGUGCUUUUCCUCAGUGGUGGUGCACCGCGACCGGCUCUGGGUCGGCUAGGAGGGCCACAGGGGGCAGGUGCCCUCUGCUCCGGCAGAGAGUGUUACAGCCCUCUGUAAGCAGUUUUGCUGUGUCUGCGGGGCUAAGGAGAUUGACCACUGCUGCGUCCUUCUCUGUCCCCUCAUCAAGGGCGGCGAUGGGAGACGGGGCUCCCGAUGCAACUUUUUUUAGUCUGUGGUGGGCUGUACUCAGUGUGCCCCAAACACAUUGCGCCACCGGGCGGGGAGGCCCACGAAGGGCGCCAGGUGUCUGGGUGAUGUCGGUUACCCACCUGACCCGUCUUGAAACAUGGACCAAGGAGUCUAAAACGUGCGCGAGUCAGAGGGCUGAACGAAACCCAGUGGUGUAAAAAAGGUGAUGGCUGGCGUGCGCCGGCUGGGGUGGGAUCCAGUCGCGGUGGGCGCACUACCAGCCCAUCUCGCCCACUCUGUCAGGGAGGUGGAGCAUGAGUGUGUGUGAUAAGACCGGAAAGAUGGUGAACUAGGCCUGGGCAGGGUGAAGCCAGUGGAAGCUCUGGUGGAGGUCCAAAGUGGUCCUGGCGUGCAAAUCGGUCGUCUGACCUGGGUACAGGAGCAAAAGACUAAUCGAACAUCUAGUAGCUGGUUCCCUCUGGAUAGCUGGCGCACGGAAACCCCAGUUGUAUAUGGUAAAGCAAAUACUUAGAGGUCUUGGGGCCAAUUCUCAAACUUUAAAUGGGUAAGAAAUCUGCCUUGCUGGCGUGGAGCUGGGCAUUGAAUGCAAGUGCUCAGUGGGCCACUUUUGGUAAGCAGAACUGACGUUGUGGGAUGAACCGAACGCUGGGAUAAGGCGCCCGAUGCCGACGCUCUUCAGACUCCAGAAAAGGUGUUGGUUGAUACAGAGAGCAGGACGGUGGCCAUGGAAGUUGGAAUCCGCUAAGGAGUGUUUAACAACUCACCUGCCAAAUCAACUAGACCUGAAAAUGUAUGGUGCUGGAGCAUCUGGGCCAAACCCGGCCGGCGCUGAGAGCCGCGGGGACUAAGCCGUGACGAGUAGGAGGGCCACUGCGGUGCACACGGAAGCAUGGGGCGAGGGUCCGGGUGGAGAAACCACAGGUCCAGAUCUUGUUGGUAAUAGCAAAUAUUCAAGCAAGAACUUUGAAGGCCGAAGUGGAGAAGGGUUUCAUGUGAACAGCAGUUGAACAUGGCUCAGUUGGUCCUAAGAAAUGGUUGGGUGCCGUUCGGAAGCGACGGGCGAUGGCCUCUGUUGCCCUCAGACGAUCAAAAGGGAGUCGGGUUCAGAUCCCCGAACCCAGAGUGGCAGAGACAGGCAGGGACCCUCGCAUCGUCCAGUGCUGUAACGCAAAUGAUCCCAGAGAAGCUAGCGCGAUCCCUGGGGAGAGUUCUGUUUUCUUUGGGAAGGGCACCCUGGAAUGGGUUUGCCGCAAGAGAGCGGCCCGCGCUUUGGAAAGCAUUGCGGUUCCCGUGGCAUCUGGUGAUGCCUCGUCAUCUAAUUGGUGACGUGCAUGAAUGGAUUAACAAGAUUUCCACUGUCCCUACCUACUAUCUAGUGAAACCACAGCCAAGGGAACAGGCUUGACAGAAUCAGCGGGGACAGAAUACCCUGUUGAGAUUCACUCUAGUCUGGCACCGUGAAGAGACAUGAGAGGUGUAGGAUCAGUGGGAGCCCCUCGGGCUGCCGGUGAAAUACCACUACUCUUAUUGUGUUUUCACUUACCCAGUGAGGCGGAGUGUGUGAGCCCCUUGGGACUCUCGCUUCUGGCUCCGACCCGCUUCUGGCUCCGCCCACUCCGGCAACAGUGGCAGGUGGGGAUUUUGACUGAGGCGGUACACCUGGCAAACCAUAACGCAGGUGUCCUAAGGCAAGCUCAGGGAGGACAGAAACCUCCCACGGAGCAGAAGGGCCAAAGCUUGUUUGAUCUCGAUUUUCAGUGUGAAUACAGACAGUGAAAGUGGUGCCUCAGGAUCCUUCUGACUUUUUGGGUUUCAAGCAGGAGGUGUCAGAAAAGUUACCACAGGCAUAAAUGGCUUGUGACGGCCAAGCCUUCAUAGCGACGUCGCUUUUUGAUCCUUAGAUGUAGUCUCUUUCUAUCAUUGUGAAGCAGAAUUCACCAAGAGUUGGAUUGUUCACCCACUAAUAGGGAACAUGAGCUGGGUUUAGACCGUUGUGAGGCAUGUUCGUUUUACCCUACUGAUGAUGUUUUGUUGAAAUAGUAAUCCUGCUCAGUACGAGAGGAACCGCAGGUUCAGACAAUUGGUGUAUGUGCUUGGCUGAGGAGCCAAUGGGCAAAGCUACCAUCUGUGGGAUUAUGACUGAACGCCUAUAACUCAGAAUCCCCCCCCAACUGUAAUGGUACUUCAGCGCUGUGGAGCCUCGGUUGGCCUAGGA
rnacentral:rRNA from 1 species